rnacentral:lncRNA from 1 species
GCUGCUGCAGAACAACUUCUCCAGACCCCAGCUCACAAGCAUCACAGUUUCUGCUUCACUGCCUGCUCUGGCUGACUCAAAGUCAGCAGCAUACUUGAGCAUUUUGCAGCCAGAAACUUGAUCGAAACAGAAAUCCUGACACCACAUAGCUGUUGGUAGCCAUGAGCUACAGCUGAGAUGGUGCAAGGCUUACCUGGUAGGAAAAUGAAGCCAGAUUUUAUUUGCCGCUGUGGCACAGGGGUAAGUUCAAUUGAAGGGACGCUGGGCCCAUGUUAGACGGCAGAGCCAAGACCCAGCAGAUUCACCACACUAAGAGAGAAAUCCUGGGAGAAAAAGUGGUCUACACCUCUGGUGUCAGUUAGACAGACUGGGAUUCUGGUUACAGCUGCUUGGUGAAUGCCUCUUUUCAGGUUGUGUCACACAACGUUGGCAUGGGUAGUGCAAGUCUAGGACAAGGACUUCAGUUCCUCCUUCUGCUUCUCCUCUUCCUCCUCCCUGGAAAACUGCUCCCUGCAUUCUCUGGGCACCCUGAAGAGUGAAGACCCAGGUGCUGGGCACCAUGCUGAAGAUUUCCUUCGGCAAACCAGUAAAACAGCAAGAGCACAGAGAUGUGGGGAGACUAAAAUAUCCUAUCCCCUGCAAAACAUGGGCAGGCUGAAGACAUGGCCCCAAGCUUCUUGGUGCUGGCAGACCUCAGUAAGAAAGGAGCAGUUUGAGGCAAAGCAUUAGCUGCAUGCCUUGUGGGAUGUACCACAUUGCUGCCAGAGAUGGAGGAAAACCAGAGGCUCUGGUUUAACAAAUCAUCUGCUGCUAAAGGGACUGCAUGAAGAAUGGAGGUGGGAAAGGAAAGGGCUGCAUUGGGUUGCUCAGCAUGGCGGACAGCAGGAGGAUGGAAGACAAGGAAAAAGCCCAGGAAUUAGGAGAUUGUUUACCAUGUCAAAGACAGAAAAUAAAAAGGAGAGCUGGUGGUCCAGCACAGUGAGUUGAAAGGCCAGCAGAGCAUGACCCAGAGGGAGAAAGUUUGGCCCCACAGGGACUUACCACUUCUCAGAUUAUAUUCUGUUCCAGAGGCCUUCAAAACAGGGGGAGGAAGAAUAAAAAAAUGAAUACUCUGUUUUCCCUAUUAAAGCCUUGAUACAUCUCAGCAGACAGUAUUCUCCCUCUUGGCAGUCAGAUCCUUUUUCUCUCCCAAUAAAACAGCCUCUAGAGAGCAACUUAGAUGAACAACUUGACUAGAGCGGCUUAGGACAGCACGUGCCGCCCUCAGUGGCCAGAUUGAAAUCUGAACUCCUGCCCCUUCCAUGAGCAUGAGUUCAUAUUUUGGCAAGUUCACAGAGUUUCUAAACAAUUAUAUGUUUAGUUUACUGGUCCAAAAGGGGAAGCCACUACAGACAAGUAAAUAAUAUACAGAGAUAAGUUUCUUGAGAAAUUAAGGUCUCAAUGAAUACACAAAUAUACAAAGGAUGUAUAAAUAAAUGACAUUUAUAAAUAGUAUACUUGGCAUACUCUUACUCAUACUAGCUCUUUUUUCUCCAGUUAAGGUUUAAAGGAAAACUGUUUCAUGAGGAUGUUUUCCUAAACUGCAUUCAGGAUGGCCAACGCAUUGGCUCUUAAGUAUUCAGAACACACAAUAAAAUGAUGCUGCUUCAUCACAGUAAGAAUAAACAUUUUUGUAUAAUAUCUCUCUUUUUAAUUUACUGUGCUCGGUUGAGUUAUUAGUCUCAUUCGUGAUAAUCCAGUGAUUUGUUUAAUCCUGUUUUCCCCUGACUAGUAGCAGGGAGCCAUGUCAGGUUGAAGUGUAGGUAUGUGUCUCUCACUGUCCUGAACCAGAGCCCACAUUUGCUGUGUGGGGUGAAGAAGAAAGGAAGCAGAAGCUGCAGCUUCUCUAUGCUGCCCC